rnacentral:rRNA from 1 species
ACUUUAGGCCUGAAUAUGCUGAAGAUCCCAGAUCUUGACUGAUCUUGGAAGCUAAGCAGGAUUGGCCAUGGUUAGUCCUUGGAUGGGAUACCACCAAUGAAUACCAGGUACUGUAGGUU